rnacentral:rRNA from 1 species
CCCUUAGAUGUUCUGGGCCGCACGCGCGCUACAAUGAUAAAUUCAACGAGUUUAUAACCUUGGUUGAAAAGCCUGGGUAAUCUUUUGAACUUUCGUCGUGAUGGGGCUAGACCCUUGCAAUUAUUGGUCUCCAACGAGGAAUUCCUAGUAAACGCAAGUCAUCAGCUUGCAUUGAUUACGUCCCUGCCCUUUGUACACACCGCCCGUCGCACCUACCGAUUGAAUGGUCCGGUGAAAUCUUCGGAUUGAGACUUUGAUUUCUUCACGGAAAACGCUGUUUUAAAAAGUUGAUUAAACCUUACCAUUUAGAGGAAGGUGAAGUCGUAACA